UUUGUUUCCUUUGGGAUUGACCAGUUUGUGUUUCCUUCGGGAUUCACCAGUUUGUGUUUCCUUCAGGAUUCACCAGUUUGUGUUUCCUUCGGCAUCCACCAAUUUUUGUUUCCUUCGGGAUCUACCUAUUUGUGUCUCUUUCGGGAUCCACCAGUUUGUAUCUCCUUCGGGAUUCACCAGAGGUAAGAGUGGGGACGCGCCAAUGAAUGACAAGCGGAAUCCGUGAUCGAGCCACUGGGACCAGUUUUACCAGUUUUUAUGCUUCUGCUCAUAAGACUUGGAUUUCCUUCAUGUUUUUGCUAAAUUUUCAGUUUUGAUGUUUGAAACUUAUUAUUCAAAAUUGUUUUUCAUACUUAUUUAUUAACCUUUAUGAUUUAUGGGUACCCUAUUAUCGUUUUUAAUAUUUGCAUUUAAUAAAGAACUUUUGAACUCCCCUUAUCAA